GACGAGGUGGCUGAGUGGUUAAGGCGAUGGACUGCUAAUCCAUCCCCACGCGUGGGUUCGAAUCCCAUCCUCGUCG